UACGUAGGGUGCAAGCGUUGUCCGGAAUUAUUGGGCGUAAAGAGCUCGUAGGCGGUCUGUUGCGUCGACGGUGAAAACCCUCAGCUCAACUGGGGGCCUGCCGUCGAUACGGGCAGACUUGAGUGCGGUAGGGGAGACCGGAAUUCCUGGUGUAGCGGUGAAAUGCGCAGAUAUCGAGAGGAACACCAGUGGCGAAGGCGAGUCCCUGGACAACUCCUGACGCUGAGGCACGAAAGCUAGGGGAGCAAACAGG
rnacentral:rRNA from 1 species